UCCUUCUGCCUCAGCCUCCCAAGUCGCUGGAACUACAGGCAAACAUCAUCAUGUCCAGAUGAAGUCUUGCUCUGUUGCCCAGGCUGCAGUGCAGUGGCGCGAUAUUGGCUCACAGCAAACUCCUUCUCCUGGGUUCAAGUGAUUCUCCUGCUUCAGCCUCCCACCUCAGCCUCCAGAGUAGCUGUGACUACAGGACCCACUGAGCUUCAUUGCUCUGAAGAUUGGAAGCUGUUAACAGCAUUAGAAGAUACCCACCCACUCGCUGUGGCCUCCCAACGUGCUGGGAUUACAGGUGCCAGUCACCGUGCCUGGCCGAUUUUAAAUUUCCAGUUAUUUUUUUUAUUUCUAAAGCUUACUUGGUUAUUUUUAAGAUUUCCUAUUUCUUUGAUUAUAUUGUUGAGUUUCUAAUAUUUUAAAAUCCUACUAAACAUAGUUAUUCUGUAAUCCUUGCUGUAAUUUCUGAAGUCUGAGGAUUUUGCGUUGCUGUCUGUGUGGUUCUCAGUUUAGUACCUUGUUCCCGUGUAUGCUUCGCAAUUUUUAAAAUGUAUUUACUUGUUUCUUUUUAUUGUGAGAAGCUAAUAUCUUUGGAAUUUCACCUUUAGGGAUUCUUAAUGCCUCAGGUGAAGGUGAAUUUCUAUACUGGGGACUUGCUUUUAUUCUUCCAAGUGCUUAAGGUCCCUAAUAACCUGGCAACCAAGUUAAAAUCUCAGCUUGGAGUUUUUCAGUAAGUGGUGUAAAUGCAGACUGCAAACACACAUAAAAGCUGGCCAUGUCUUAAAAAUUCCCACAUCACAUGGUAUGCUGUGAUGUGGUUGAGAAAGACAAAGUUUCCUUAUUGUCCUUUUCUGCUUGGCAAAUUUAUUUCUCAUUUUUCUUAUAUUGAAGUAAGGUUCUAGGUUUAUGAGCAUGGGCUACCAUAGACUUCCCAACGGGGGCAGGAUCUGGGCCAGAACCCUGCAAGUGGUAUUCCUCAGCCUUUGUGAGCCACGAGAAAGGGUGGGGCUCCACCUCUUCUCCAUUCCCUUUGGCACCUGGGGCCCCACAUAGCCACCCGAGAAAGAGCCCAGGAGCUCCAGCUUUGGCCUAAGAUGAAAGAUACUUUUGGUACUAACAAGGAUUUCUGUUUCCAUUAAAAUUUCAGCCUCUAUGGAUUUUUUAACCUCCUGCUGUCUCAGCAAUGCAUUAAAAAACAUAUUUUAGCAUAUUAAGCACUUCAGUGUGAGGGUUGUUCAGGAUAUCCAGAAUAUCCAGCCUGCUAUAUUGCUGGAUAUUGAAGUCUUUUAUCAACUCCCUCCUGUCCAUUAAACAUUGAGUUCCUAGAGACCAGGGACUGUGAUUGAUUCGUCUUUAUACCCUAGGACCUGACACACAUUAGUGUAUACAUAGGAAUUAUUAUUUGAAUAAAUGCCAAAACCAAUCAUUUCA
rnacentral:lncRNA from 13 species